CGGUAAUUCCAGCUCCAAUAGCGUAUACUAAAGUUGUUGCAGUUAAAAAGCUCGUAGUUGGAUUUCUGCGGGGACGGAGCGGCCGGUCGCAACUUGCGACUCGAGCUAGCGCUUUCCCCGCAUCCUGCCGCGAACCGUGCUACCAUUAGUUUGGUGGCGCUGGGGAUCGGCUCGAUUACUUUGAGAAAAAUAGAGUGUUCAAAGCAGGCCACACGCCUUGAAUAAGUUAGUAUGGAAUAAUGACUAAGGACUUUGGUUCUUUUCGUUGGUGUUCGGGACUGAAGUAAUGAUUGAUAGGGACAGUUGGGGCGGUCCGUAUUCCAAAGCGAGAGGUGAAAUUCUUAGACCUUCGGAAGACGAACAGCUGCGAAAGCGUUCCGCAAGGAUGUUCCCUUUGAUCAAGAACGAAAGUUGGGGGAUCGAAGACGAUCAGAUGCCGUCGUAGUCUCAACUAUAAACUAUACCAGCUAGGGAUCGGCCAACGUUUAAUUUAUCGACUUGGUCGGCACCUUAUGAGAAAUCAAAGCAUCUGGGUUCCGGGGGGAGUAUGGUCGCAAGGCUGAAACUUAAAGGAAUUGACGGAAGGGCACCACCAGCCGUGGAGCCUGUGGCUUAAUUUGACUCAACACGGGAAAACUUACCAGGUCCAGACAUAGGAAGGAUUGACAGAUUGAUAGCUCUUUCUUGAUUCUGUGGGUGGUGGUGCAUGGCCGUUUUUAGUCGGUGGAUGUGAUCUGUCUGCUUAAUUGCGUUAACGGACGAGACCCCAGCCUGCUAAAUAGCGCGGCCGAGCUUUGCUCGGUGCGAGCUUCUUAGAGGGACCAUGAUGCGCGAUAGCACAAGGAAGUUUGGGGCAACAACAGGUCUGUGAUGCCCUUAGAUGUUCUGGGCCGCACACGGGCUACACUGGCGCCUGCAACGAGCAUAUCAGCUGGCCCGAGAGGGUCUUGGCUAAUCUUUGGAACCGGCGCCGUGCUUGGGAUUGACCAUUGCAAUUGUUGGUCAUGCAACGAGGAAUGCCUUGUAAACGCGAGUCAUCAGCUCGCAUUGAAUACGUCCCUGCCCUUUGUACACACCGCCCGUCGCUCCUACCGAUGAAUGUUCCGAUGAAAUUUUCGGAGAGCACCAGAGAACGGGGCUCCGCCUUGCAGAUCUGGAGACUCAAAGUCACUUAAAUCUGAACAUUUCGAGGAAGGAGAAGUCGUAACAAGGUAACC
rnacentral:rRNA from 1 species